AUUCUUUUAGUAUAGCAGUACAGUUGACUUCCAAUCAUCUAGCUCUAGUCCAACCUAGAAAAGA
rnacentral:tRNA from 1 species